rnacentral:rRNA from 1 species
CGCGUGUGUGAAGAAGGCCUUCGGGUUGUAAAGCACUUUUGUCCGGAAAGAAAAGCUUAGGGUUAAUAACCAUGAGUCAUGACGGUACCGGAAGAAUAAGCACCGGCUAAUUUCGUGCCAGCAGCCGCGGUAAUACGAAGGGUGCAAGCGUUACUCGGAAUUACUGGGCGUAAAGCGUGCGUAGGUGGUUUGUUAAGUCUGAUGUGAAAGCCCUGGGCUCAACCUGGGAAUGGCAUUGGAAACGGGCUUACUAGAGUGCGGUAGAGGGUAGCGGAAUUCCCGGUGUAGCAGUGAAAUGCGUAGAUAUCGGGAGGAACAUCCGUGGCGAAGGCGGCUACCUGGACCAGCACGGACACUGAGGCACGAAAGCGUGGGGAGCAAACAGGAUUAGAUACCCUGGUAGUCCACGCCGGAAGCGAUGCGAUCUAAUGUUGGGGGCAACUUGGCCCUCAGUAUCGAAGCUAACGCGU